rnacentral:tRNA from 1 species
GCGGAGGUUGCCAAGCCAGGUCAAAGGCGUAGGGUUCAGAUCCCUAUCUCGUAGGGGUUCGCGAGUUCGAAUCUCGCCCUCCGCACCA